rnacentral:rRNA from 1 species
UUUGUUGCCAGCGGUCCGGCCGGGAACUCAAAGGAGACUGCCAGUGAUAAACUGGAGGAAGGUGGGGAUGACGUCAAGUCAUCAUGGCCCUUACGACCAGGGCUACACACGUGCUACAAUGGCGCAUACAAAGAGAAGCGAACUCGCGAGAGCAAGCGGACCUCAUAAAGUGCGUCGUAGUCCGGAUUGGAGUCUGCAACUCGACUCCAUGAAGUCGGAAUCGCUAGUAAU